rnacentral:rRNA from 1 species
UAAUACGUAGGGGGCAAGCGUUGUCCGGAUUCAUUGGGCGUAAAGAGCGUGUAGGCGGUCAGAUAGGUCAGCUGUGAAAACUGGAGGCUCAACCUUCAGACGUCGGUUGAAACCAUCUGGCUAGAGUCCGGGAGAGGAGAGUGGAAUUCCUGGUGUAGCGGUGAAAUGCGCAGAUAUCAGGAAGAACACCCGUGGCGAAAGCGGCUCUCUGGAACGGUACUGACGCUGAGACGCGAAAGCGUGGGGAGCGAACAG